ensembl:snoRNA SNORD116 Small nucleolar RNA SNORD116
GGAUCGAUGAUGAUUUCCUCUCAAAAGCAUUCCUUGGAAAGCUGAACAAAAUGAGUGAGAACUCAAUACCACCGUUCUCCUCGACGCUGAGGUCC